GCAGACAGCUGGGGCGCGACGCAACUUAAGGAGGGUCUGUCAGUGUCAUCAGUGGGGGAGGGGCCUGCCCUGCUCGCCCUAAUUGAAUAUUGUGGGCCAGGAGAGAUGACCAAGAACUGCUGCACGGAUUUUUCUUUCACAGACCCUGCAAGAGUCUCACCAAUAGUGCUUCACAAAGUACUGACACAGGCAGCCUCUGCGACGCCACUGGACGUGACGUCAUCUCCAGAGUAAACAGCCAGGAAAUGAACCCUCUCAGCAAGCAGAGCAGAGCGCGCAGGCUGUUCUGGAGAGGAAAUGCGCGCGCCCUUUUCCAGUAAAGCUGUCCAAACAGCCGCGAGGCGCGGAUCCAGGGUGAACCAGAGGACACCGCUUCGGGCAGCGGGCCUCGCCCGGCACUCUCUCUACCCGCUGGAGCUACUUCACUCCAGUCACCACUGGGAUACAUUAUUAUUAUCUUGAUGAAGACGGAGACAUUUUUUUUUAAGCGAAGGAGAGAGAAACGCAUUCGGACUUUCAUGUGUGUGUUACAGGAUAAUUUAAAUGUAAUCAACGAACAGCUAUUUAUUAUUAUUACUAUUAAUAAUGAUAAUAAUAACAAUGCUUUUCAUAUAUGCUGAAAUAGAAAAAAAAAUUACACCGAAAACAGGCAUUUUCAAAUAAUUCAAAACGAUAUCAUGCAUGACAAAAUGUUAAACCUCGAGUUGGGGCGUGUGGCAUAUAGCCUAUAAAUAUAGGCUACAGGUAUAAGAUGACUAAUGCCACAAUAUUCUCUGAUCUUUUCAAGAACAACGCUUCUUGUUGUACUCAAUUAACUAUGUGAACCAGUUCAGAUUCUUAGAACCAAAACGAGGGCGUGAAAUUAUUCUCGGUGUGAAUGAAACUUGAAAAAUGAGGUGUAUUUCUUAGAAUGAUUCAAAUGAGAAAGGAUUUUGGAACAUUUUACCUCGAGUACAGAUUAUGUUUUCGGUAAUGCUUUAGCUUCAGUAACAAGAAAAAGAUAUGAAGGUACUCUGUCAAUUGAGUGAGAGAGAUGCUUAUCCGUGUGAUCGCUGUUCACCUCCGCUCUCUUAACGGCGGCAUCGCCAGGCCCACACCGCCUCCAUUUGGAUGCUACUGUUUUCGGUUACUCUGCUUUAAACAACAUCAAAUGUAGUGCUCUUAUGGCGUAUUUUACCAAAUAAAUCCAUUGACAGUU